rnacentral:lncRNA from 1 species
CUCAAGUAGAUUGCCCAAGAAAGGGAAAAAAAGGCCACAGGUAUUUCCAUUCCUGCUCUAGCUGAGUAUGGCCUGCCUUCUUUGUGGCACACUAUUUCCUCUCCCAUUGCCAAAUGCACAUCUAACUCUCCCCCCAGCACAGGAAUGUGAGUAUUCUCACUGUGCCACACACCAUUCAGGCACAGUCAGAUGGUCAUCACAUCUCUGCUUUACCUGGUGUUGCUAGGGAUGGGUACCCCAUUAACUAUCUCUCUGGCCAACCUUGACAUUCCUAUAGUAAGGGAAGGUCCAUGUGGCAGAACCAGGACUUCUGGCCCCAAGACGUUACCCCUUCUAUGCCAGGAGCAAGUCUUGGAGUCUGCAGAGGCCAGAAACAAUCUCCCUGGAGCUGAAGACAGACUGCGAGUGCUGGGCUAAGAGAGAUUUUGAAGACAUAUGCAGCUGAUGUGCGCCUGGAUCCAGACACCGCCUAUUCUCGCCUCGUUGUGUCUGAGGACAGAAAAUGUGUGCACUAUGGAGACACCAAGCAGAAUCUACCAGACAAUCCUGAGAGAUUUUACCGCUACAAUAUCGUCCUGGGAAGCCAGUGCAUCUCCUCAGGCCGGCACUACUGGGAGGUGGAAGUGGGAGACAGGUCAGAAUGGGGCCUGGGAGUGUGUAAGGAAAAUGUAGACCGGAAGGAGGUGGUCUAUUUAUCUCCCCACUACGGAUUCUGGGUGAUCAGGCUGCGGAAGGGAAGGAGUACCGAGCAGGCACCGAUGAAUACCCUCUCCUGUCCUUGCCAGUCCCUCCCCGCCGGGUGGGGGUCUUCUUGGAUUAUGAGGCCCAUGAUAUCUCCUUCUACAAUGUGACUGACAACGGCUCCCACAUUUUCACUUUCCCUCACUAUCCCUUCCCUGGACGUCUCCUGCCCUACUUUAGUCCUUGCUACAGCAUUGGAGAAAACAACACGGCUCCUCUGGCCAUCUGCCCCUUGGAUGGGGAGGACUAAGAGGGACACCAUCCUAGCUAGAGGCCGUGAAAGUUUUGCCUGGCC